rnacentral:tRNA from 1 species
GCUUGUGUGGUUUAACGGUUAAAACAUUAACUUCAUGCGCUAAUAAUGAGAGUUCGAUUCUCUCCGCAAGCU